rnacentral:piRNA from 1 species
UACUCAGUGUCUCUCAUUACUUACGACC